CACACGUAUACAUAUAUACACACAUCUACACUGUAUUGAUAUGUUGAUAUAUUGAUGUUAUGAAUUAUUUUAAAGAGUAUUCUAUUGAUGUAGAGGAUAAUAUGAAAUUCAAUAUUUUCUGGCACUCUUUUUAAAUGAUACUUAGGCCAUCUGAUGAAAACAGAGCUCAGUAAAGAUUUCUUAUUGAUAAAUCAACAUUACAAAUGAAGACUAGUUUCAUUGCCAUGAUCAGUAAAUUAAGGGUCAUAAAUUAACUGUUGAGUUAUUUUCUUUGCACUAUUAAGCCUUCCACUCAAUCUUUCUACAGUCUUUCUUAUUUAGCAAACGGUGUUACUUGAUAGAAACCUCUGCUGUGAUUUUGUUUUUUGAAAUUUAAUAAGAAAGCUAUAUAAUACAAUUCUCGGGGGAAAACAAGCAAGGUAGGUUUUUCACGGUAACCUCCAAGCAGAGAAAUGGUUUCAGUGCGCAGUCCAGUGAAUUUCCUCCAUAGAGUGUGCUGGAAGAAGUCACCUGGAAGUGAUCACCAGAGUGAUAUUCAGUUUGACUCUCAUUGGUUUGUAUAUAAUUGAUUAUAUAUAAAAACAAAUGCCAGGGUGAGGGUGGGACUAGAGUCCCCCUUUCAGGCUCCUCCCCUUGCAUUUCCAUCUGGUCUUGCAGCAAGUUAACCACGGUCCUAUCUUCAGGUUCAAUUACUCCCUUUAAAAAAUAGGUUUUAACACCUAUGUAUCUCUCAACAUUAUAUUGUUUUAUUUUGAAAAAUUGAAUAAUAACCACACACCUAGCUUUGGAAGCAAGAGGCUUCAUGGCCAGGAUCAGAUAAAUGAUCCUCUUAGAGUGGGUGGGACCUCAGCAUCCCAGAGCGUGUGGAAGAGUGCCUGCCAGGAAGCCACCAGACAAGGUCCUAAGUACAUGCAUGGAAACACUGGGCACGAUGCUGACUGUGGCAUGGGCCAAAAAGUGACAUGGGGCAGAACUUCAGUGGGAGGAGGGGUGCUCUGUACGUUCAGCUUCUAAGCCCACUGUGGCCUUCCUCUUAGGGUUUCACAGAGCCAAGCAGAAAAGGAGCACAGGUGACCUUGGCAGGAAGGCAUGCAUGGGAGAGCAGGUCUGCACUCUGGGACACCAGCCUCAACAGAAUACGAGUUUUGAAUUUUUGAAUUGCUGUUAAAACUUUCAUCAUGAACACUGAAGUGAGUGAAAAGAGACUUUUGCAGUCAUUUUUUUGCUGGCUGCAGAUGACAGUGACACCCUGGGAGUUGAGAAAUGCUUGUAAGAUGGAAGGAGGCUGUGUCCCUGAAUGAUCACCUGGAAGAGAGCCACCUUAGCCAAUGAAACUCCUGCUAUGAAUGUUUGCUGAGCAAGAAAUAUACUUACUGCUUUAUAUGCCUUUGAAGCUAUAGGUUCAUAUUGUUACCACAAUUUAAAGUGCUAUAAUAAAAAGAGUUCAGGAAGCAGGCACAUGGAAGCAAUAAGAGCAACAAACAUUUACACAGUUCUCAGGUCCCUGGACCAUGAAGGGCCACAUCCAAGGAGCUACCCCAGGAGGCCUCUCAUUUGCAUUUGUCCCCGCUAAUGCAGGACAGAGAUCAUGGAAGUUGGGCCCGACUGGAUGAGAUUUGGGGGUCUUUGGAAGUGGAGAAUGUGUUUGCCCUGGGGAAGAGAGGUGAUGUCUAGGAGACCUCUUCACUCAGGGCAAGCUCUAUGACCUGCUUUGACUCCAGAAUGUGGUAGAAGUGGCAUCACAUAAAUUGCAGAGCCUAGGCUUCAAGAGACCUUGCAACUUGCCUCUCACUGACUUGAAGUGCUCCCAUCAGAGCAUCUUGUAAGGAGCAGGUGGAGCAUGUGGACAAGCCAUCCCCACCAGCCCCUGAGACAUGUGAGAGAGGCCAGAACAGGCCAUCCGGACCCCACUGUGCUGGUGGAUGAGACAGCAGAAGGAAUAUCAACCUACCAACAGAAUCCUGAGAAAUGCUCACUCUUACUUCAAGCUGCUGCAUUUUGAUGUUAUGAAACCAUAAAUAACUUAUGAAGUCAUCUUUGCUGACUUAAAGUUUUCCAUAACUUUAUUAUAACAUAUCAAAAUUAUGAAAAAUGUGAAAAGUAGAAAACUGAUGAAUUUUGCUUCUUCAUAUGGUCUUUAAGAAUCUCAAAGGCACUGAAGUUUUUUAUCUUUUCUGUCUUAGAAUAAAAAACCUUGAAUGAAAAUCUGCUUCUUGGAAAAGCAGCAAGGUUUAUGCAGAGGCAAUCUGGUAUUUGUGUGCACUGGCAGCUGAUCAUACCCAGCAUGCACGCACUCUCAGGGCAGAGUCUGAUGCCCCACAUAAUGGGGCAUGGUAAGGACUCCCAUGUCCUUGAGAUAAAAUGAUAAGGAAAAUACACACUGCUAUUAGAAUAACAGGCCCAGCUUCUGCACAUUUUAAUUCCCAAAGUUUUCAUGAAAGACAAUGAUUUUUUGGUACCAUGUUUAACUCUACAAGAAUCAGUAGUGAAAACUAAAAAUGAUACUUUGUGAAAGUUCAUUAAUUUUGUUUUCAGCCAGUGGUGGCCUUGGUCAGAUAGAAUCAAAUCUAUGAUACUUUUUAUCAGAAAUGCUUAUACUGUGUACAAACCCAAAGUGAUGGCUUUCAAAGAUUGAAUUUGAUUAUUUUCUGUAUGGUGCAGAUGAAAAAUUACUACACAGGAGAAGGUGGGUUGGAGGUGCUCACGAGUAACCAGGAAACAGUCUGAAGUUUUUCUGAUACUUCUCCUUGGUCCAACCAAAUGUGAGAUAUAAACACAAACUUGGGAUUCCGUUCUUAUGUUUUGGUUGUUUCAGUCUUUACAGAUGUAUCGAAAGGCUGUCCAAAAAUGUCUGACUUCUGUAGUGUGCCUUCGUAGCACUAGAGGGUUCUGCAGCUGUGAAACUGAAGGCAUUGGCAAGAAGCCCUCCAUCUUCAAACCACUUUCUGCUAAGGUGUGGCUCUAUAAAACCACUAUGAGCUGGGCUUCACUGAGACUGAGUUGUUUCAGUAGGAUCUUCCGGAAAAACAUGUUCCCUCCUUUACCUGGGUUGUCAUUCUGAGAACAAUCACACCUCCAAUUUUGGCUUACUAAGCAAUAGCGUUUUAAUGAUUUUAAGCCAGGAUUUGCUCCUCCUUUCCUCAGUAUGAGAGCUUAACCACUGGAGGAACCAAGAAUUCAUGCUGGUUGGGUUCUGAUUCCACUUUAACUUACUGUAUAGCCUCAUCCCUUGUUUUUCUGGAGAUUCUCUUUUUCUGCUUCACUGAUUUAUAUUUACAUUAAAAUCAAAUGAGGCCAUGUUUCUGAAAUCACAUUGUCCCUACAUGGUCAUUACAAUGAGUCUGUAAUGUGACUGAAAGACAGCCAUGGAUACAGGUAGAGGAUAUCAGGCAAUUGAAUGCUCAUCAAGCAUUCAAUUCAGGGCAAAUGGCAUAAGGUAUGCAGUUGGCCUCUUCUGAUAUCUGUGUCUUAAUCCUUUCUUUAGCCUCUGUUUUCUGGACCAAGGCUAAGAUAUUUUCUGGGCACAGUGGCUCAUGCCUAUAAUCCCAGCACUCUGGGAGGCCAAGGUGGGAGGAUUUCUUCAGCCC
rnacentral:lncRNA from 1 species